rnacentral:lncRNA from 1 species
CGGCAGCAGCAGCAGGAGGAGGCAAUGCCUGCUAGCACUCUGUUCCUGAAUAGGCCUGGAUAUUGAGAUCCUGAGUUUCUUUGGUAACUAAAGGUACAGCUCUCAGCCUGGGAUGUCCGGAUCCUUGGCCCUUGAGAUAGGUUAUUGCUGUAGGCUUUGACCUUAAAGUACCUAGAUCCUCAGUCCUCACGGAGCGGGUCUCAGCACGUGGGUAGAAUGACCCUUCCGCAGGAGUCACAUGUCAGAUAUUUACACUGUGAUUUAUAACAGUAGUAUACUUUUACGGUUGGGGUCAGCACACAUGGAGAACUGUAUUUAAGAGCUGUUGCUUUAGGAAGGUUGAGAACCACUCUUCUAGGAGCUGGGUCCAUAGUUUCUCAUCCGCGGCCCUUCAAAGCCUUCGCCAUCACUGUCUCUCCUCUCUCUCUUGUGCUCCAGAACUCUCCAACUGCUCUCUUGGGGCUGCCCCUCCGUUAACUCUGCUUCCACUCUCGCUGACUCUUAUCCCGGCAUGGCUACUUCUGCCAUCUUUUCCUUGUGUUAGCAGCUCAAUUAACAAUAAAGAUCAAAAGCCGGCGAGAGAGAGAGAGAGAGAGAGAGAGAGAGAGAGAGAGAGAGAGAGAGAGAGAGAGAGACCAUUCUAGAGAAACAUUUUAAUGAGCCUGGGUUGCAAUAUUGGGUGUGCUCAGGAGGGCGUUUCUUGGCUGAUGCUAAACAGCCUUGUUACACAGCCAGGAGGGAGUUGUGGCAGAACUGUUUGCAGCUGAUGUCACAGCCCUCAUCACAAGGGGAUGAUAUUCUGCUGCAUCCCCUGAAGUUCGGAAUCCCUCUGGCGGAAGUGAGAAUAGCUGCGGGGCAAGUGGACUUGCACUUACCAAGGUUUAUUUAAUUUAGAGUGCUAUUGCCAAGGUCAGUACAGGCUGCCUAGAGUGGCCAUGACUAGAGCGUGACUUUGGACAUAGCUGUAGUGGUUGUCUGCUCUACUUUAGUAUCCUCAGAGUAAAGGAGCCAAAACAACCAGGCUACUGCUGCUGCUGCUGGCUAGUUGCAGCACAGGGUCUUCUUGGCUAUGGUUCCUGCCUGGUAACUUUUUUAAAGAUUUAUUUAUUAUUAUAAAUAAGUACACUGUUGCUAUCUUCAGACACAUCAGAAGAGGGUGUCAGAUCUCGUUACAGGUGGUUGUGAGCUACCAUGUGGUUGCUGGGAUUUGAACUCAGGACCUUCUGAAGAGCAGUCAGUGCUCGUACCCGCUGAGCCAUCUCUCCAGCCCCUAUUCUUGGUCAUUUUUAACACUAUCAUCUGAUUUUAUUUUUUUAUUGUUUUAAAACGAUUCAUUGUAUUUAAACUUUUUUUUCUAAUUUAUGUGUGUGUAAGUGUGUGGGUGUCUGUGUACGUAUUUGCCACCUCUGUGCAGGUGCCCAAGGUGACCAGAAGAGGGCACUGGAUUGCUCAGAGCUGGAGUUACAGUCAGUUGUGAGCUGCACAACAGGAGUGCUGUGAACGAAACUUCAGUCCUCUGCAACAGCAGCAGUACUUCCCAGCCACGGAGCUGUCCCUCCAGCCCUGCUCUGCAAGCGUGUUUUCACGGUUCACCCAUGCUGUGUGUCAUUCCUGGUCUGGCGGCUGAGUAGUAUCCCAUUGCAUGGAUACAUACCACGUUAUUUAUUUAUCAGUUAUCAGUUAUCAGUUGAUGACAUGUGGAUUGUUUCUAUUUCCUGAUGGCUAACGAACAACGACUCUGUGAAGAUCACCAUGUAUGAGUUCUUGUGUUGAUAGUAUGUCUUCAUUUCUCCUAAACAUAUGUCAAGUCAUGAAAGUGCUAGGUCACAAGUAUGUGCAUCCUUACCUGUGAUGUGUGCUGGUCCCACUUCCUCUACAACCAUGCCAACACUUGCUCUUAGCUGUCUCUCUCUCAGUCAUCCUAGUGGACAGAAAGUGAUAUCUCAUUGUGAUGUUGCCACUAAAUUUUAAAUAAAUUCUUUCUUCUUUAAUUUAAUUUCUCCUUAUUCAGUCCAUACUGGGCCAAAAAAAAAAAAAAUCUCAGAAAUGUAACUGAGGUUGAUUUAAAACUUUUUUCUUCUAGUGUUCUUUGUGAAUUUUACAUCAUGCACCCCAAUUCCACUCAUCUCCCCAUCCCCUCAUAUCCCCCCCUUACAACCUCCCCCACAACAGAGAAAAAAAAACUCACUGUGGAGGCUGUAGUGUUGUCACAGUGCGUCCGUCCCAUAGUGUACCCUUUUGUCCAUACUUCAUUGCUUGCAAAUGUUCAUUGCAAUGAGUCCUUGGUCUGGUAUGAGGCCUCUGGUGUCUGCUACUCUAUCAUUACUGGAACAUUGAGGGUAAUUUUAAAAACUGUUUAUUUAUUUACUUACUUAUUUUAAAAGCAUGAUCUUACUGUGUAUCCCUGGCUUCCCUAGAAUUUUCUAUGUAGAGCAAGCUGGAACUCACAGAGAUAUGCCUGCCUCUGUCUCCUGGAUACUGGGAUUAAAGGUGUAUGCUAGCACGCCCCAUUUAUUUUUAAUUAUUUGUGGUAUGUAUGUAUGUGUGUAUAAAUAUGUGCAUAUGAGCACCGAUGCCAGUGACGGUCAGGAGAGGGUAUCUCUGGGAGCAAGAGUUAUAGGAGUUAUAGGAGCUUGUGAGCUGCCUAACGAGGAUGCUGGGAACUGAACUUGGGUCCUCUACAAGCGCAGCCGGUGCUCUAGACCUCCAAGCCAUUUUUCCAGCCCCUGACACCGAGCUUGUAUUGAGUUGUGGACAUGAGAAGGUUUACUGCUCUCCUGGUGUGACUUCAUUAGGGGUCUAUGAGGCAGUUGUUUCUGUCUCUAUGUCCCCAUUGCCCCUCCUGCUCUUGUGAGACUAUGGAUUGAUUCAUGAAAAUAUUUCCCACUUUCCUUGUGGUUCAGUAAUCGUCUCCCCCAUUCUUUCCUUAAACAGUCUCAGUCGUGGUGACAGUCAUGGUGGCAGGUGCUGGGGACAUGGCUUUUGGAGGCUUAGGUUCUAAUUCUGUGUCUAGUGAUUGCCAGCCCAGAGCCCAGAGCCCACUAAUGAAACUCUGAGCUUUGGCUUUCCUAUUUACAAAGAGAGAUAAUAACAGAUCUCUCCGAUAAUUGUUAUGAGGAUUAAGCUACAUCCUGCGUGUCAAACAAUAGAACAACAGUGUGGAAAUUGCUUAAUAAAUAUUAGUUUCCUCUGCACCCUUGCAUUCCUCCCAAUCCUGUAAAUGUGCUGUUUCCCCAGGAGAUGGAAGGAGGCUGCUGUAGAUACAAUUUAAAUAACAGUCUCAAAUAAAUGCUAUGCCAGAGAGAGAAGAGACUAGAAGCCAAGGGAGAGAAAGAGAUAGACUGUGUCCAAACCUAGUUUAGAAAGCAGAGGGCUGAUGACUUAAGGGAGGUCAGAGAUGUCGCUGCUGCUGGGAGGGAAGGCACAGGAUGGGAGGGAUGCUUGGGCUGUGCUGUUUACAUGUUCUGUUCCCCCAAAGCACUCUUUUUUUGGAUUAUGAUCGCAUAGGCACAGAAUCUUUUUGAAGCAAAGUUGAUGUUAAUUUCAGACGACCUAUUUCUAGGGGCAUUCUGGGAUCUGACUGGACGAAGCCUUGCGUAUACCACAGGCUGAAGGAGGAGGAGGAGGAAGGCCAGGAAUGCUGGUGUGAAUCUUCAAGGGCCGGCAAACUGAAAUCAUGGGAGAAAUGCCAGCUACCACUAAUAUCCAGGACCCGGAGCCAUGGGCUGAAAGGGUGGGUUCAGGACCUUUUGGAAAAUGUCACCAGACCCCUCCCCUCCAGAAGGGGAAGGCUAAUUAACAUUCCACAGGACAGACUGACCAUCAGCCACCUGCCAGUGGGAGAGGCCUAGAGCAGGUAAACACAUUCCACAGGACAGACCGACUAACGGACCAUCUACAUCCACAGACAAGGGAAGUCCCUGCCACCUCAUUCUCUAAAGACCAAUCAGUUUAAAAAGUCACACUGUUCUGCCAAUCACGUUGUGUCUAGUGGCUGCUGCUCUGAAAACUGUAUAAAGACUGACCAAACAGGCUGCAGGGGUGGGGGUGGGGUGUGGAUAGGGGUGGGGGUAUCACCGUCUCUUCUUUGGAUGUAGGGAGACCCCAAUGUGUUGGAACAAUAAAUUCCUCUUGCUUUUUGUGUGUGUGUGUGUGAAAAAUCUAUUUAAUAAAAGAAAAAUGUAAAAAUAUAUAUUCAAUAUAUAGACAUUCGACUUGCAGUAGAUACACGAUGCUUAGAAAAACAGUCUCUGGACCCAGGAAAAUGGAUAUGAGAGGGUAUAUCCCUGAUAUUCAGAGGCCUGAUGCUCUCAUGCGGGUCACACUGCCUUUUCAUCCCACCAGUAGCUGACAUACAGUGUUGAUCUAAUUCUGUCUUAGGAUAGAUUGAGCAGCAAAAAUCCAGGAGUAAGUGGUCAGUUGCAUUUUAGGAUACAGGAAAACAUAAAGAAAACAGAACAGACUGAAGGUGGUAAACUCAUACAUUAGAAGUACCCCCAGAGCUCAUGUCUCUAGCUGCAUAUGUAGCAGAAGAUGGCCUAGUUGGCCAUCACUGGGAAGAGAGGCCCCUUGGUAUUGUAAACAUUAUAUGCCCCAGUACAGGAGAAUGUGCCAGGGCCAAGAAUUGGGAGUGGGUGGUUAGGGGAGCAGGGCGGGGGAAGUGUAUAGGGAACUUUCAGGAUAGCAUUUGAAAUAUGAAAUAUAUAUGAAGAAAAUAUCUAAUAAAAAUGUGCAAAUAAAUAAAUAAAUAAAUAAAUAAAUAAAUAAAUAAAUAAAUCCUGGGAUAUGAUUUUCUGAAAGUUACCUGGUAAAAGUGCAUGUUGUGUUUUGCUGGAGCAGACACUUCAGAGACCAUGUGAUAUUUGCAAAGAGUAUAAGUAUUAUCCAAUAGACAGUGGACAAUGCUUUUGCAUUGGUUAGUUUUGCUAUUCUUUGCUGGUCUUUGUUGGGCUGAUGACACUCUUGCGUUGAUUCACCUUGCUUUCUUCUCUGAUCAUUACCUUGCUGUGACUUUGUAGAGAGAAAUGCACCAAAGAAAUUCUGGUGGGAUUCCAGCUGCUUCUUGCUGUUGCUGUGGACUUCUGCUGAUUUGCAGAAUCUUGUGGUUUCUUCUGGAUUAAGCUGCUACUGCUGAUUCAUGUUUGGUGUUUGCUGAGUGAACACAGCUGCUAAUGCCGAUUCCUCUGUGAUAUUUUGCUGAAGGACUGCACUGCUGACAACGAAGACUUAAAGAACUAUUUCUAAACAAGUCCACAAUGCACUUCCUAAAAUCUUUCUUCUCCCCUUCCUUUGAUGGUUUGUGGGCUAGAAGGGAGGUUGAAGUAUUACAGAACUAUUUGAAAAAUUUUAAGCCUAAAAUUCAUUGUUUUCUUGAUAUUUAUUCUAGUUUUCUGAGUUCUUCAUAUAGUCUACAAAAAUUAUAUAGGAUGCAUAGGUGUAAGGAGAUUACUUUUUUCCUGCUUUUUAUGCCAUGCUUUCUUCACUCAAAGGUGGUGUCCUUUGCUUUACAGAAACUGAAAGAUGGAGAGUUAGUGUGCAUCAAGGGUGUGGUCCAUAGUACAGCUACCAUGCUUCAGUAUAUGGCCAUCCAAAUAAGACUACAUGAGUAGCAGUAAUCAGGUAUAGGUUUCAAAAAACUUGGGUCAUAAAGCUGGGAUGCAGUGAAUGGCAGGGCAUAGAAGAGAAGGGUGAAUGUGGUCAGAACAGUGUUUGAAUUUCUAAGAAAUUAAUUAAAUAUCUUUAAUUGGUGGAUUUUUUUAAAGGAGAUGGCUAGUGGGUAAAAUUGGUUUGUGAGCAAGAAUAAAGACCUACCUGAGGAUUUCUAUUAUCUUUAUAAAUUUUUAAAAAAUAUUUUUAUUAGGUAUUUUCCUCAUUUACAUUUCCAAUGCUAUCCCAAAAGUCCCCCAUACACCCCUCCCCACUCCCCUCCCCACCCACUCCCA